GGGUAAUCACCCCAAGCGUGGUGUUUCUCUUCAACAUCAUAAGAGACAGGUACAACUUAGUGGGCGGCUGCUCCAUUGUGCCAUUCCGUGGGGAUACAUGGGAUAGGUGGUCUUUGGUUGCUCACGCUUGGCGACGACUACAGAGGCGUCAAUGGCGUGGUGCCAUGCCAUGGGAAGACCGGGCGGGCGGCGACACACGGCCAGAGGGAGGGUGUGGUGGAACUCGCACUCGACUGUAGAGGAUGCUAUAAACGGAUUUUACAGUAGCAUGGAGUUUUUGACCUGCUCAUAUAUGAGUGUGCCGAUGCAUAAUGAAAGGGCAGGGCAGCAUCAAAAACCUAUACGGUUAGCAAAUCAAACAAGAACCAAGUCAAUCGGUGAAUUAGAUAAACAUUUGAACCCACUCUACGUUUUGUUAUCUGAGGAGGACUGGAUGGUGAAUGACAAAACUAUGCAUAGAAGUAGAGAGCUCACAAUAUACAGACAAAUGAGAAUGUUCUCAGCUAGGCAAGAAGAUAUGUUGGCCAAGCUGCUGGUAUAAUAUGAGGACUAAUUGGUGCAUGAGAGUUGAUUUCGUGUAUAAGUGACAUUGUUUCCAUAUGUGGAUUCUGGUCUGGGUUAUUAAGAAUGGACCAUACAUUUUAGUCUUAUAUGCCCAAUAUUGCUUGAAUCGAAGCUGUCUGUCGGCUACACUUUCAAAGGGAGUUGAACAAACGGAGUAGGGUAGCAAUACUGCACUACCAACGACAUCAUAGAGGCCACCGAUUCAGACUUAGGAGAGGUAAGAAAAUGAAACAAACAAUAAAAUGUUUCAAUUCCCAGUAACAAUCUUAUAUGUAAACCAUCUCAUGUUUUUAUGACAUAACAUAGGCUCUACAACAGAGAGCAAAAAAGAAAAAACAAAAAUCAACUAUGACAUCAGCGAGAAAAAGGUGAAUGCCUACAUCUAACCUAUAAGACCAAACUGAAUCAAUACUGUCACCUCAUAGGCAGUCUACUUUUGCAGUGCAACUAAUGAAAAGAUCGAGAGAGGUAAACAAGGAACUGUUCCCACCUAAAAAAAGGAGUUUCAACUGAUAAACUGAAUGAACAACACCAUGUCGCUGCACUUUUUUCCUUCACAAUCAGGACAAUGAGUGCCUUUUGUGCACUCCAGCCCAUGUGGUUUAGAAAUUGAAGACACACAGGGAGUUCAACUGGUGAAUCAGAGAUUCGCCAUCAAGUUACCAAGCUAUCAACUUACUGUCAAAUUAUAAUGUGUAAUAUAAUUGGCCUAUGUGCCAUUUCAGGAGCAAGUACUUUUGCCGUAUCACUGCAUAA